GGGAUGGAAAGGGCUUCUUUGUUCUGUCUUCUCCAGAACGUUACAAGUCUAAGAGCUCAGGACAAGAGCAGCAGAAAUACAUGCAACAUGGUGACUGGAACCCUAAGGACCUUGCAAUAUGAAUAAUUCUCUGGAGAACACCAUUUCCUUUGAAGAAUACAUCCGUGUGAAAGCGCGAACAAUCCCCCAGCACAGGAUGAAGGAGUUCCUGGACUCCCUUGCUUCCAAGGGGCCUGAAGCUCUGCAGGAGUUUCAGCAGACAGC